CUGAAAACCUUGCACAAAGUAAGCCAGCAAAUAAUCCGCGUAUUUUAUAUUUUCGUCAUUGGUUAUUAAUGUUGGACUUAUUAGUAUUGAGGUUGCAAUAUGUAGUGUUAAAAAAUGUUCAUAUAUAUCCCCCAGUGAGCAAAAUGAGUGCAAAUUGAGCGCAAAUUGGCAGCAAGUUCGAUCAAAACUUGAUGCCAAAACCGUAGCCAACUGUGUCCACUUUAGGCUUGUGUUUUGACAUCAAGGCUUGGUGUCGGGUAACUUGUAACAAAUUUGCAGCAAAAACCACGCAAGUUUUGUAGCGCAUAACUUUGUACCAAAUAGGCACCAAAUACCGAGCAACACUUGCGCACAAGACACGAGAGCAAAUUGGCAGCAAAUCCGCAGCAAGCCUUGCACUCAAUCAGCUGAUCGAGAUGGUGGCGACGUGCGUUGGGUUUUAAAUAGUUCCUAACCUAUAAUAUAUUCUGAAAUUUUGAUUGAAAUUUUUCAUUUAAAAAGAGAAAGAACUAGACUUGCGAAGUUUGCUUCGCUUAUCGAGCUUAUAGGGCUCGAUUCUGCACUGCAUUAUAUACACAUCUACCGACAAUUAUCGGUAUGUUAACGGCAUUGCGCAGCUUUUUCGUAUAACAAAAAACUGCACAACGCCGUAAACGAUACCGAUAGUUGUCGGUAGACGUAUACAGAAUGGAGUCCCAGCGGUAAGCGAUGAUAAAACUGUAUAUAAUACACCAACUACAUCAAUUGGAACAUGGUCACCAUCAUUUCAUCAUUCCAGACGUUCUGAUUCUCCUAUAGAAGAAAUAUUAACUGAGGAUUACAAGAAAUUUAUGGUUAAAAGUAUGGUGACCUUAUUAAGAAGAACUAAAAAUAUAGGAGAUCGAACUUCCUCUUUGAAAAUUAUUGGUGGAAACACAAUAACGUCAGCUACGAAUGCAAUUCUUAGCAAAUUAAUUGAAGAUGUACUUGCCAUAAAAUAUAAUUGGCAAGGAAAAAAAGGGAAAAAAGCUUUUAAUAAACUGUUGACAUCAAAAUUAAUUAUAAAAACUGUACACGUAAUGUGUCUAACACAAUGCACUGAUAAGCAAAUAGAAGCUGCCUCAAUAUGGUUUGCUCAAGCUACAUCACGCUUCAAACGUACAGAAGGUAGGAGACAACGAAACAACCAAGAGGCAACAAAUGCAGAAAACAAUCCAGUAGUACACCCUUACGAUGAUGAUGAAGACUCUAAUAUUCUAUACUUUUAUAUUUGCUGUUAUAUUUUUAUAUUUUUAUUAAGGGAGGGUGGGGCACAGAGAGAGAGAGAGAGAGAGAGAGAGAGAGAGAGAGAGAGAGAAAGAGAGAGAGAGAGUGAUAGUUUUGGGAAAUUCGUUGGUAGAGCCCGUUUUUAAGUUGACAGUCUAAUAUUUUGAUUAAUAUAUUUUCGUUAGGCCUAAAA
rnacentral:lncRNA from 1 species